rnacentral:rRNA from 1 species
CCUACGGGAGGCAGCAGUGGGGAAUUUUCCGCAAUGGGCGAAAGCCUGACGGAGCAACGCCGCGUGAGGGAAUAAAGUCUUUGGAUUGUAAACCUCUUUUCUCAGGGAAGAAGUCAGUGACGGUACCUGAGGAAUCAGCAUCGGCUAACUCCGUGCCAGCAGCCGCGGUAAUACGGAGGAUGCAAGCGUUAUCCGGAUUUAUUGGGCGUAAAGCGUUCGUAGGCGGUUUUAUAAGUCUGCUGUCAAAGUGCGGAGCUCAACUCCGUAAGAGCAGUGGAAACUGUGAGACUAGAGUGUGGUAGGGGUAGAGGGAAUUCCCAGUGUAGCGGUGAAAUGCGUAGAUAUUGGGAAGAACACCGGUGGCGAAAGCGCUCUACUGGACCACAACUGACGCUGAGGGACGAAAGCUAGGGGAGCGAAAGGGAUUAGAUACCCCUGUAGUCCUAGCCGUAAACGAUGAACACUAGGUGUUGUCUGUAUCGACCCGGACAGUGCCGAAGCAAACGCGUUAAGUGUUCCGCCUGGGGAGUACGCACGCAAGUGUGAAACUCAAAUGAAUUGACGG